rnacentral:tRNA from 1 species
GGAGAGGUGGCUGAGCUGGCUUAAGGCAGCGGUUUGCUAAACCGCCGUAGGGCGUUAAAACCCUACCGAGGGUUCAAAUCCCUCCCUCUCCG